rnacentral:rRNA from 1 species
UACGUAGGGAGCAAGCGUUGUCCGGAAUCAUUGGGCGUAAAGCGCGCGUAGGUGGCCCCAUAAGUCCGCUGUGAAAGUCGAAGGCUCAACCUUCGAAAGCCGGUGGAUACUGUGGGACUAGAGUACGGAAGAGGCGAGUGGAAUUCCUGGUGUAGCGGUGGAAUGCGCAGAUAUCAGGAGGAACACCAAUAGCGAAGGCAGCUCGCUGGGACGUUACUGACACUGAGGCACGAAAGCGUGGGGAUCAAACAGG